UCAAUAGAGUUUUUUGAAAUCAAAAGUGAAUAACCUUAUUAAGGUAUCUCUUCCUAACUCAGUAUCUCAGUGAUUUUUAUAGAAAUGUCUUUUAAGGAGCAAAUUUACAAGAAUGGUAUUGGCAACAACCCAAUGUCAUCGUCUUCAAUGUAAGUUUAGUCGCAUUCCGAUAGUGCUGAAAUAUGGCUCGAGGCCCAAAGAAGCAUUUAAAAAGGCUUAAUGCACCAAAAUCAUGGAUGUUGGAUAAACUUGGUGGAGUGUUCGUACUUGUUUUGUUCUAAAAGCCCUUUUAAUUGAUUGGAAAAAAGGAUUAAAAGAUUCUUAUUUAGUAGG